AGCUGGUCCGAAGGUAGUGAGUUAUCUCAAUUGAUUGUUCACAGUCAGUUACAGAUUGAACACCUUGUUCUAAUCCUUUCCCCUCUUCUCACUACUGCACUUAACUAGUCUUUA
rnacentral:Y_RNA from 1 species